CUCAAGAAAGUUCAUCUCUUCUCCAUGUAUCUUGUGUAAUUUACUGUGUGCGUAUCUGUUCUAAAUUUCGUUGCUUGAUGAUUAUAUUUUGCUAUUUGUCAUUAUAAAUCAAUGGUUCGUUAUUUAAAUGACUCAAUUUAUCUCAGUAAGCUCAAAUCGGUGAGCGAUAAAUAAAAAUAAAUUUUUGUCAUGCAUAUUGCACAGGCAAUAUAACAUUGCAAAUAAAAAUGAUGGCAAAUAAAAAUAUCCGAUUUACACAAUUUAAAAAGAUCAGACGGAACAUUUCAUUCUUUCAAAUAAACGGGUUGUUUUGCCUUCUGUAAUAAAAUUUCAUCGAAUCAGAUACAUUGUUUGUCCUGAUUAGUGCCGGAAGAGAUUGCAUUUGGAUCAAACGCUACACGUAAUCGUUUUAAUCGCGAGAUGAAUGGAAAUUGAAAUUUGCGAGGGGGUUCAUUUUCGGGAAUAUAUGAUUCGUGUACGGGCAGCCUUUAUAUGAAUGUUGUCAAGAGAGAUCGAAAUUUGUGUGACUCGCGAUUAUCCAUCGCUAAUUUUAGGCUGGCGCACGCACACAGAUGCGAUGUAUAACGGUAAUCGCACAAAUUCUCAUUCUCGCCGGCCGCGAAAUCUCGUAUAUUGGCCCCGACCAUUUACAGAUGCAAAUUCUAUUAUGUCCGCUUAUCACGUUGCGGUCUAGAUUGCGUCCACGCGGACGCUGCGCAUGCUAGUAACAUCUGCAAAAUUAGAACGACGUGGCGCGUGGUCGUCGGCGAUACGGUAAAUUUCACUUACCGACUCUCCGGGGUAUCGUCGAAAAUCGAUUUUACGAAAUGGCCAACAGUCCGCGUAACAUAAUAUCUGAGAAAAGUCUCCAUCAGACUCAUAAAUAUGUUACUUGCCACCAAAAUAUGUUACCAAAAUAAUUUCUAGCAAAAUGAAUUGUGAGUAUGCAAGUUCCACUUUGCAAACAAUCUUGCGCGCUUGUAAUUCUUUUUCCGCAUGUACAUGAAGGUUGCCGUAAUUUUCAGCAAACGACUCGAGGACUCUUGAUAUUCCGACCUUGAAAUGAACGCUCUUCUAGCUUGUAAGGUCUCGUUGCGCACUCCAUAGGCUUUCGGGAAAGUUUACCAAAUUUUCGAGGAUCGUUACGACCUGUUUGUCCAGCAAACAAACUUCGAAAUUACUGUUUCCUCCAUGACGACGGCGGUUUCGAUCGAGGAUCGAUGAUGCCUCCCUACCUACGGACGUCGCUUCUACGUCCCUACCGUUCGACAAGUCCCCGUCGAUUAAACGAUGGCACGCAUCGAGCAGUACAACUCCACUUGUCGUUGCAAUCGCCGCACUCUCGACGCGGUACGAGAGAACGGAGAGUGCCGUCUGGUUUUUAUCGGUGCCACGUGCGUGACACGAUAACGUGCGAUCCGUUCACCGUUAUCAAAAUGCGCCGAAAGUUCGGGGCACGUGCUAGGACAACGCGUACCUCUGUCAAAGGAUCCCGAUUUGAUUGACUGUGUAACUGAGAGUGUGCGAGACCCGAAACGUGUCGAACGUUUUUAUCGAGACGGCCGUGGCGCGUGAAAUAUCGUUUAUUUCUUCGAUUUAUUUUCACGGGGAAUUUUCGGUUGAUCGUAUCGAGGUUCCGUGUAUAAUUUAGUAGCGCGAUCCGCGUUAUUUCUGGGUACUAUCAGUUAUAGUUUUUGGUACGACGAUCAAUAGUGCGAGUACUUUUCUAGGAGGACUUUACAUAAGCGCGAAUAUACUGCCUUCCUCAAAUAUUUAUUCGGAUCGUUCAUAUGACUCGAUUUUUUCAUUUUUUAUUAUAUCUUUAGUUGCUUAUAAUGUCUUAUUUAAUAUUUUUGUUUUCCAUUUGUCUGUCGAGCUGCACUUUGAGAGACAAUAUAUAGAUAGUUUCUUGUCUUUGUUAUAUUUCAUAGGUUUUUGAUUACGUGUAUUUAUAAAUGUUUUUUAUAUCAAUCUAAUUAUUAUCUUUAUGACAAAAAAAAUUUUGUGAUUUCAAGAUAUUAUUUUUGAACUUGAUUGCGCCUAAUAUAGCGGUUAUUUAGGAUGCUAAUUUAUAAGGAUUUAUAAGAACGUCCUUGUAAGUUACAACCAGAAUUGAGUAUGCAAUUUCAACCUAUUUCUUCAUUGAUGCAGUCUCAAUUGGACGACAUAAUCGCGAUAUUCUAGCAGUUGUUCAGUCCUUGAACAAAGCGCAAGAAAAUAUUUCAUUAUUUGAUAACGAGCGACGCGUGGGCAACUAUAAAACGGCAAACAAUAGCUCGCAAUAGCACGUGGACUUUUUUUAAUUCACAUGCGUGUUGUUUGAAUCGUAUCCGUCCACGUGGCUAUAAUAUAACAUUUUUCAUUACAUUUAAAAAUUCAAAAAUAAACAAGUCUAUUAAAAAAAUAAAGCACUUUUUGAUAAAUAAAAACGUACAUCAUAACUCUCUAAAGGAGAGAGUAACAGAAAGUUGAUCUCUCAUUGUAAUUUAUGUAUCAUUUCACAAAGUUCUAGAACAGACAAUUCCCUUGCGGCUAGACAAAUAUUGUUUCUUUCGAGAAUGAUAAAAGGAUAGCAAGGCACGUACGCAGAAACUUGGUUGGGUAAUUUCUCAGAGACUGACACACUCGGUUCUACGUCGCUGAAAAGCGAUACGGCGCUUAGGUUUAAAUGAACAAUUUCCUAGCGUGGAAACAUGUAAUACGUCUCAGAAACCGGUGCGUAUUACCAAGACUGGCUCCUCGCGAAUAUCGGCUCGCGAUAGUGUUACCGUAAUAACGCUAACGGCGACAAGCGAGCGAUCAAGCUUAGAAUCACUUGUACCGGAGCGACGUAAUUGUAAUUGAAUACCCGGGUUAAUUAAUGCCCAUUCGGGCGCUAUGAUCGUAUUUUUGCAUGAGGUUGACCUCGUAAGAAGCAAACAUCACACCACGCUAAUUAUGUAACGCGACUCCUCAAUAACGAGCAGUUGCUCGUGCAACCAGAUGGCAAGCUUGAAAAGCAAAAGUCUGAAAAUUUUUAAUCAAGUCUUGAGGUAUUCGCUGAUCUUGCCAUCCCUUAGUGGGCCGGUUCGAUCGAAGCCGCCGUAAUCGUAGACGUGUAUCAGGAACGUAAUCAGCCAUGCACGUAAAAACUGCGACAUCGAAGCUGCGAACCGAAUGCUGAUUAAGCCUCGACUCAUAAAAGUGCAAAUUAGUGAAAACGUACACGCGCACACGCGCGCAAUUUGGAACAUGCGGGCGCUCAGGAAUAAAUUCAUGUUGUGCAGACAACAGGAGGCGACCGUGCCCGAGCUCGCGUCGAUUUUUAGCGAAUAAUCGAAGACAAGUGUAACUUAAGUUCAAUACAGCGUAAUCAACGCCGAAUUUAAUUGAGCAUUUCUGAACAUUUGGCGAUAACGAUAGAAAAAAUCAUUAACGGGAAAAAUUUCCAAAGUUAUUUGAAGAGUUAAGUCACCCACUUCAAGUAUAAAUAACGCACUUGGAUGAUCGAGAAGACAUCUUGUCGCGGUAUUACUCUAAUUUCAGAAAUAUUUUCUCUAUGUUUUAUUUUAUAUUAUAUUUUAUAUUUUAUUUUAUAUCCAUUAUCCGUUAUUCGUUAUUUGAUAUCAUUAACUUUUAUAAUCUGUUAUUUCGCAUUCUUGCACCUUCCGUUUACAUUUUGAGAAGAAGGAUGAAGGCAAAUCCGCGCCACUUUCGCGGAUUAUUGCGCGUUCUUACGUGACACAAGCCCAGUUUCCUGCUUUUUUUUACCUUGAUGCAGCCUGAUGUAGACGACUGACAGUAAUCGUCUGUUCUUCUCAC